UGAACAUGAAGGUUAAAACCCCUCCUUUACCA
rnacentral:tRNA from 1 species